rnacentral:rRNA from 1 species
UACAGAGGGUGCGAGCGUUGUCCGGAAUCACUGGGCGUAAAGGGCGCGUAGGCGGCCUGAUAAGUAGGGGGGUGAAAUCCUGUGGCUUAACUGCAGGGCUGCCUCCUAGACUGUUAGGCUCGAGCACGGUAGAGGCAGAUGGAAUUCCCGGUGUAGCGGUGGAAUGCGUAGAGAUCGGGGAAGAACAUCGGUGGCGAAGGCGGUCUGCUGGGCCGUUUCUGACGCUGAGGCGCGACAGCGUGGGGGAGCAAACAGG